rnacentral:rRNA from 1 species
UACGUAGGAGGCGAGCGUUGUCCGGAUUUACUGGGCGUAAAGCGCGCGCAGGCGGCAUACCAAGUACGGUGUGAAAUCUCCCUGCUCAACGGGGAGUAUGCAUUGUAAACUAGUAAGCUAGAGGACGGUAGAGGGGGGUAGAAUUCCUGGUGUAGCGGUGGAAAUGACGCAGAUAUCAGGAGGAACACCCGGGUGGCGAAGGCGGUUCCUGCUGG